rnacentral:rRNA from 3 species
GGACAACCUGCCCUUAGGUUGGGUAUAAACCCGGGAAACUGGGUAUAAUCCCCUAUAAGUCUCGGCUGCUGGAAUGCACCGAGAUUAAAAGCUCCGGCGCCUAAGGAUGGGUCUGCGGCCUAUCAGGUAGUAGUGGGUGUAGCGUACCUACUAGCCUACGACGGGUACGGGUUGUGAGAGCAAGAGCCCGGAGAUGGAUUCUGAGACACGAAUCCAGGCCCUACGGGGUGCAGCAGGCGCGAAAACUUUACAAUGCUGGCAACAGCGAUAAGGGAACCUCGAGUGCCAGGUUACAAAUCUGGCUGUCGAGAUGCCUAAAAAGCAUUUCAUAGCAAGGGCCGGGCAAGACCGGUGCCAGCCGCCGCGGUAACACCGGCGGCUCGAGUGGUAACCGUUAUUAUUGGGUCUAAAGGGUCUGUAGCCGGCCGGAUAAGUCUCUUGAGAAAUCUGGCAGCUUAACUGUCAGGCUUUCAGGAGAUACUGUCUGGCUCGAGGCCGGGAGAGGUGAGAGGUACUUCAGGGGUAGGGGUGAAAUCUUGUAAUCCUUGAAGGACCACCAGUGGCGAAGGCGUCUCACCAGAACGGACCUGACGGCAAGGGACGAAAGCUAGGGGCACGAACCGGAUUAGAUACCCGGGUAGUCCUAGCCGUAAACGAUACUCGCUAGGUGUCGGCCACGGUGCGACCGUUGUCGGUGCCGUAGGGAAGCCGUGAAGCGAGCCACCUGGGAAGUACGGCCGCAAGGCUGAAACUUAA